GAAAAGAAACCAACAGGGAUUGCCCUAGUAACGGCGAGUGAAGCGGCAACAGCUCAAAUUUGAAAGCUAGCCUUCGGGUUCGCAUUGUAAUUUGUAGAGGAUGCUUUGGGGCAGCCGCCUGUCUAAGUUCCUUGGAACAGGACGUCAUAGAGGGUGAGAAUCCCGUAUGUGACAGGACAUGGCACCCUAUGUAAAGCUCCUUCGACGAGUCGAGUUGUUUGGGAAUGCAGCUCUAAAUGGGAGGUAAAUUUCUUCUAAAGCUAAAUACCGGCGAGAGACCGAUAGCGCACAAGUAGAGUGAUCGAAAGAUGAAAAGCACUUUGGAAAGAGAGUUAAAAAGCACGUGAAAUUGUUGAAAGGGAAGCGCUUGCAAUCAGACUUGUCUUUAACUGUUCGGCCGGUCUUCUGACCGGUUUACUCAGUAAUCGACAGGCCAGCAUCAGUUUCGGCGGUCGGAUAAAGGCCUUGGGAAUGUGGCUCUGCCUUCGGGUAGAGUGUUAUAGCCCAGGGUGUAAUACGGCCAGCCGGGACUGAGGUCCGCGAUUCGUCUAGGAUGCUGGCGUAAUGGUUGUAAGCGACCCGUUGAAAACCCGGGGCAAAAAGAACGCCCCCCCGGGCGGGGCCAAAAAAACCGCCGGGGGAACGAAAAUGUACCCCCAGGGGGAGAGCCCC
rnacentral:rRNA from 1 species